AAAAACUUAGUUAAAACAUAACAUUAACUUGUCAAGUUAAAAUUACUAAUAAAUUAGUAGUUUUUG
rnacentral:tRNA from 1 species